rnacentral:rRNA from 1 species
AACGAACGCUGGCGGCAUGCCUAACACAUGCAAGUCGAACGGGAUCCUGGUUUCGGCCAGGUGAGAGUGGCGGACGGGUGAGUAACGCGUGGGAACCUGCCCAGUGGUGGGGGAUAACUGCGGGAAACUGCAGCUAAUACCGCAUGAGCCCGCAAGGGGAAAGAUUGAUCGCCAUUGGAGGGGCCCGCGUUCGAUUAGGUAGUUGGUGAGGUAACGGCUCACCAAGCCUACGANCGAUAGCUGGUCUGAGAGGAUGAUCAGCCACACUGGGACUGAGAUACGGCCCAGACUCCUACGGGAGGCAGCAGUGGGGAAUAUUGGACAAUGGGGGCAACCCUGAUCCAGCAAUGCCGCGUGAGUGAUGAAGGCCU